GUGGUUUGAUUUCAUCAGUUCUGGUGGUCAUGUGUUGGCAGUGCCUGAUAGGCCACAUUUUGGAUAGCUGGGCUUGAAUGUGUCAUCUUGAAUAUGUCAGGGCUCUGAAUAUGCCACCUUAGCACACUGUGCCUGCUCCAACCCACCUGUCUCUCUCCUCCUGGCCAACGCCUGGCUUUUUCAGCAUUACAGUUUCUUUUGCAAAAGGAUCUUCUACACACAGCCUCUCUUUCUUCUUCCAACUCCAGUGUGACACAAGGCCUGGGAAGCAGUGGUUUCACGGAGCAGAGAUGGAAAGAACUUUUCAGUUUUAGGUGAAAACUGGGGGGAUGUUCAGAGCCUUCCAGAAUGCUGGUCAGUCACUUUGUCAUCUGACAGCUGAUGGGAAGAAGUUGCUCUGUGCUCCCAGCACAGCCCAGCAGUGGCAGAACUUCACCACAAGUGAAGGGGUUACCAUCUAAGGAAAAGGAAGCACCCCAGAAUUCCCAACACCAAGACCACCUCAUGGCUGUCAGUCAGCUGGAAUAUAAACCCAGAGGUUUCUCUGGAUAGUCCUGAAUCACAACUAUGCCAUGUCUAGCAGGGAAACUUUCAGCAACAGCCCAAGAGGUAUGGCUCAUCUGUGCCUGUACUCAAGUGGACAUCUGGAUUAUCCAACAUUUACCGUCCAAUAUCUGCCAAGGAAAAUUCCAAGCUGUGAUUAUUUCUGGAUUCCAUUUCUCAGAAGACAGAAUAGUUUCUAGACAAUUCCCAUUGCUUUUUGUUUCUUCAUAGGCCUCUCUCCCAGAAAACCCAAAGAAGAUUCUGAAUUUGAUCUCCAAAAGCCCUUAGAUGUAUGCUGGUUGCCUUCUACCACAAAUUAACUACAAGCAGCAAACUCUUUUUCCUCAGAUCCUUGGUUAACCACAGCCUCAGAGGGCUUGGCCUUUUCCCUGGCCAGGACAUGCCAUGGCAUCUUGGUGCUGCAGUUCCUGCUGUGCUCUCCAGGAUGCUUCACUUGUGGCUGGCACUGUGCAGAGUCUGUGUGUGCAGUCAGCCCAACCCAGGAAACAGCACAAAGAACAGGUCAAGUAAGUUGUGUGUUGCCAAGCUGCAUCCUGGCACCACCAUGGGAAAGGGGAGCAGGUCCUGGGAGCCAAAAGGAGCACAGUUCAGAUGGGACCACAUCUUGCAGUGUGGCUCUAACAGGAUGUUCCUCAUGGUGUCCUGUUGCUGGGAUGAUGGAGGAGUCAAGGAUGGAGAGGUUCCAUCAACAGAGGUUCAUUCCACCAUGUCCAGGCAGACUGGAAGAGGGACUGAGGACCAAGAGAGUGUUAGUGCAGCAGAAAUGGCCUUGGACAGAAAAAGAGGUGACAAGCAGCAGACCAUGGACAAGGCUCACAUCACAGAGGUGCAAGAUCUGCCUGUCCCUGGGCACAGGAGUGAUGAACACCAUCUCCUCCUCAUGCUUGUUCUGUGCUCCACUUUCAUUCUCAAGACAGUGGCAGGUGGCUGUAAUCCUUAUUUCUGACUUGGUUCCCUCCUCCAUUUCCACAAUAAAGUCCCUGAUGUUACAGUU